CUCAACGGAUAAAAGCUACCCUGGGGAUAACAGGCUUAUCUCCCCCAAGAGUCCACAUCGACGGGGAGGUUUGGCACCUCGAUGUCGGCUCAUCACAUCCUGGGGCUGUAGUAGGUCCCAAGGGUUGGGCUGUUCGCCCAUUAAAGUGGUACGCGAGCUGGGUUCAGAACGUCGUGAGACAGUUCGGUCCCUAUCCGUCGCAGGCGUAGGAAAUUUGAGAAGACCUGUCCUUAGUACGAGAGGACCGGGAUGGACGUACCUCUGGUGUACCAGUUGUCCUGCCAAGGGCAUGGCUGGGUAGCUAUGUACGGAAUGGAUAAGCGCUGAAAGCAUCUAAGCGCGAAGCCAACUUCAAGAUAAGAUUUCCCACCGCAAGGGUAAGACCCCAGAAAGACUAUCUGGUUGAUAGGUCGAAGGUGUAAGUGCAGCAAUGUAUUUAGCUUAUCGAUACUAAUAGGUCGAGGACUUGACCAAU
rnacentral:rRNA from 1 species